rnacentral:rRNA from 1 species
GAUGAACGCUAGCUACAGGCUUAACACAUGCAAGUCGAGGGGCAGCAUUUCAGUUUGCUUGCAAACUGGAGAUGGCGACCGGCGCACGGGUGAGUAACACGUAUCCAACCUGCCGAUAACUCGGGGAUAGCCUUUCGAAAGAAAGAUUAAUACCCGAUGGCAUAAUUAGACCGCAUGGUCUUAUUAUUAAAGAAUUUCGGUUAUCGAUGGGGAUGCGUUCCAUUAGGCAGUUGGUGAGGUAACGGCUCACCAAACCUUCGAUGGAUAGGGGUUCUGAGAGGAAGGUCCCCCACAUUGGAACUGAGACACGGUCCAAACUCCUACGGGAGGCAGCAGUGAGGAAUAUUGGUCAAUGGGCGCAGGCCUGAACCAGCCAAGUAGCGUGAAGGAUGACUGCCCUAUGGGUUGUAAACUUCUUUUAUAUGGGAAUAAAGUUUUCCACGUGUGGAAUUUUGUAUGUACCAUAUGAAUAAGGAUCGGCUAACUCCGUGCCAGCAGCCGUGGUAAUACGGAGGAUCCGAGCGUUACCCGGAUUUAUUGGGUUUAAAGGGAGCGUAGGUGGACAGUUAAGUCAGUUGUGAAAGUUUGCGGCUCAACCGUAAAAUUGCAGUUGAUACUGGCUGUCUUGAGUACAGUAGAGGUGGGCGGAAUUCGUGGUGUAGCGGUGAAAUGCUUAGAUAUCACGAAGAACUCCGAUUGCGAAGGCAGCUCACUGGACUGCAACUGACACUGAUGCUCGAAAGUGUGGGUAUCAAACAGGAUUAGAUACCCUGGUAGUCCACACAGUAAACGAUGAAUACUCGCUGUUUGCGAUAUACAGUAAGCGGCCAAGCGAAAGCAUUAAGUAUUCCACCUGGGGAGUACGCCGGCAACGGUGAAACUCAAAGGAAUUGACGGGGGCCCGCACAAGCGGAGGAACAUGUGGUUUAAUUCGAUGAUACGCGAGGAACCUUACCCGGGCUUAAAUUGCAUUUGAAUAUAUUGGAAACAGUAUAGCCGUAAGGCAAAUGUGAAGGUGCUGCAUGGUUGUCGUCAGCUCGUGCCGUGAGGUGUCGGCUUAAGUGCCAUAACGAGCGCAACCCUUAUCUUUAGUUACUAACAGGUCAUGCUGAGGACUCUAGAGAGACUGCCGUCGUAAGAUGUGAGGAAGGUGGGGAUGACGUCAAAUCAGCACGGCCCUUACGUCCGGGGCUACACACGUGUUACAAUGGGGGGUACAGAAGGCAGCUACCUGGUGACAGGAUGCUAAUCCCAAAAGCCUCUCUCAGUUCGGAUCGAAGUCUGCAACCCGACUUCGUGAAGCUGGAUUCGCUAGUAAUCGCGCAUCAGCCAUGGCGCGGUGAAUACGUUCCCGGGCCU